rnacentral:rRNA from 13 species
GCUCACCUAGAUCCCACAAAAGGUGUUGGUUCAUCCAGACAGCAGGACGGUGGCCAUGGAAGUCGGAAUCCGCUAAGGAUCGUGUAACAACCCACCUGCCGAAUGAACUAGCCCUGAAAAUGGAUGGCGCUGAAACGAGUUACCUAUACUCAACCAACAGUGCAAGUGCUUGCAUUGUUGAGUAGGAGGGCGUGAUUGUCGUUGAGCAGCUCGUGGAGUGAUCCAGAGUGAAACGGCCAUUAGUGCAGAUCUUGGUGGUAGUAGCAAAUACUCAAAUGAGAACUUUGAGGACUGAAGUGGGGAAAGGUUCCGUGUGAACAGCAGUUGGACACGGGUGAGCCGACCCUAAGAGACAGGAGAGCUCCGCCGAACGUGGCCGCUUCUGUCGGCCCGUCCGUCGAAAGGGAAUCGGGUUAAUAUUCCCGAGCCAGUGCGUGGAUGGUGGGCGGCGACGCGAACGAACCCGGAGACGCCGGCGGGAGCCCUGGGAAGAGUUCUCUUUUCUUCUUAACUGCCUCUUGCCCUGGAAUCGGUUCGGCCGGAGAUAGGGCUAUACGGCAGGCAAAGCACCUUAAGUCUUGAGGUGUCCGGCGCGCUCCCGACGGCCCGUGAAAAUCCGGGGGAGCGGUUCGUUCUCACGCCUGGUCGUACUCAUAACCGCAUCAGGUCUCCAAGGUGAACAGCCUCUAGUCGAUAGAGCAAUGUAGAUAAAGGAAGUCGGCAAAAUGGUUCCGCAACUUCGGGAGAAGGAAUGGCUCUGAAGGCUGGGCGUAGGGGUCCUAGGUCCGAAGUCCAAG